rnacentral:rRNA from 1 species
GAUGAACGCUAGCUACAGGCUUAACACAUGCAAGUCGAGGGGCAGCAUCAUUAAAGCUUGCUUUGAUGGAUGGCGACCGGCGCACGGGUGAGUAACACGUAUCCAACCUGCCGACAACACUGGGAUAGCCUUUCGAAAGAAAGAUUAAUACCGGAUGGCAUAGUCUUCCCGCAUGGGAUGACUAUUAAAGAAUUUCGGUUGUCGAUGGGGAUGCGUUCCAUUAGGCAGUUGGCGGGGUAACGGCCCACCAAACCAACGAUGGAUAGGGGUUCUGAGAGGAAGGUCCCCCACAUUGGAACUGAGACACGGUCCAAACUCCUACGGGAGGCAGCAGUGAGGAAUAUUGGUCAAUGGACGAGAGUCUGAACCAGCCAAGUAGCGUGAAGGAUGACUGCCCUAUGGGUUGUAAACUUCUUUUAUACGGGAAUAAAGUGAGCCACGUGUGGCUUUUUGUAUGUACCGUAUGAAUAAGGAUCGGCUAACUCCGUGCCAGCGGCCGCGGUAAUACGGAGGAUCCGAGCGUUAUCCGGAUUUAUUGGGUUUAAAGGGAGCGUAGGCGGGUUGUUAAGUCAGUUGUGAAAGUUUGCGGCUCAACCGUAAAAUUGCAGUUGAUACUGGCGACCUUGAGUGCAACAGAGGUAGGCGGAAUUCGUGGUGUAGCGGUGAAAUGCUUAGAUAUCACGAAGAACUCCGAUUGCGAA